UUACUGUUGCCUGGCAACCAAAAGCACUCAAGUCUAUGUUGAGCGUCACAUUUUCUUUGUAUCUCAAGAGCUUCCCAGUGACACUUGAACCCGCGACCUUGUGUUUCAGCAGACCGAGAUCAAGUGUGGGAUUUCUUUGGGAUUUUGGGGAGUGUGACAUAUUUGAACAACACUUACCAUGCGCCCACAAGCUGGCUUUGGAUAGCUCUAAAUAAUGUGAAGUGACUUAACCUAUAGUAGUGUUUAAAUGAUACGUGUUAUUAUAUCAACUUGUGCUUUUCUGACAUUCAAACUAAUGUUGGGGUGAAGAGGUCAGGUGGAUAAGGGCACUGUAAUGCAUAAACCUCUCAUACGGGAGACUAAGCUUGUGUCCAGCACUCGUUAAAUCGCUAAAUCUAAACAGAAUGUCAUUGAGUCGGUCCUUCAGGCCUCCCUCCAAAGCCCCCCCCCCCCCCCCCCCCCCCCAACAAUGAAUACUGCUUGUUGUUAGUACGAGCAGCUGUCAAGGUAGCAGCUUGUGGAAGACUUCAGUGAUGCGGAACGAAUGGGUAGAGUGCCCACAGGCAGGUAGACGGGCAGGUAGACGGGCAGGUAGACGGGCAGGUAGACGGGCAGGUAGACAUGCAGGUAGAAGGGCAGGUAGAAGGGCAGGUAGACGGGCAGGUAGACGGGCAGGUAGACGGGCAGGUAGACGGGCAGGUAGACGGGCAGGUAGACAGGCAGGUAGACAGGCAGGUAGAAGGGGAGCUGAACCGACAGAUAGGCUGCCCAAUCGGGUCUUUUGGACCAAACCAAAUGAUUGGACGAGUUGAUGAGCAGUCAUGUGACAACCAGUGUUAGGGAUUUAAGCGAGAAGUGCACCCCUAUUGGUGGAAAUUAUACGUGUAAUAAUGUUUAGUGUUUGUGUGUUAUUAGAUAUUAGUUAUUAUAUUAACAUAUUAGAUAAAGUGAAUGUAAUAUGAAUUAAACACAAUGUAUAGUCAUGUAAAGCAUAUAAACACUGUACACAUUAACAUUCUGUCACAAUGUGAUGUUAAAACCUGGGGACUGAUGCUAAUUGCCGUCCUCUAUGGAUUUCUCCCAAUUUUC
ensembl:lncRNA